CAUUUCGGGGGGUUGGGAGCUCGCGCUGAAUGCUCGGGCUUGCAAGUGGCAAUAUUUUCUAAUUUGCCCUUGCAAUGCAAGUAACUGGGAAGGUUGAAGAGGCGCUUCCCAGUAUCUGUAAACAGGAUGACAAUGACAGUAAUUCUGGAAAAAAGUGCAGGUGCAAAGUAUGAAAUGAAAACAGAGCUGACACCAAGUUAGAAUCAUCAAGGUUGGAAAAGAACCAAGUUCGUCUAGACCAACCUUUGGCCACCACGUUAACUAAACCAUAGCACUAAGUGCUAUAUCACUUCUCCAGACAGCCAGUUCUAAUGCUUUUUAACCCUUUUAGUCAAUAAAUGCUUCCCGAUGAAGAAUUCACCUUCAGUAUCCUUCAUCCAGGAUCUCAAAAGUAUCUUAUUUCCCUAAGGCUCACAACAUCUUGUGUGGUACUAUUCCAUUUUAUAGAAGGGUAAACAGAUGCUGGCAACGUGACCAGCAAAGGCACAGAGGACAGUGAACUUCUCUAGCCCUUACACACAGCCCAAGCUGCAGCAAAGCCACCCUGUGCACUGUGCAGACAUGUUACCUGAAGUCAGGUGGGAGACCUUUUCUGGGGAGAGAGGCUUUCCUGGGAGAAGUACUUGCUCUUCUCAUUGUUAUCUGUUCUGCUUUGACUUCUUCCCUGUCCCGAUUUGUACCAGGUUGGGGCCAGCACUGAGCACAGUGCCUGAAAUGGAUUCUGGUGUGCCUUCCUUUAAUAUGGCUUUUCAUUGCCUGGGGGAGAUAGAUCCUAGCUUUUAUUCAGAUCCUGGAUAAUCCUGUGAUGCAGAAAGUGAGUGGGCAAAACUGGGAAUGAAAGCCAACGCAUGCCGAUGCUCAGGCCGUUUAUCAUCUGUCUUACAGCAAAGGACAAAAGUGGAGGUAGUGGAUGAAAAAUGAGGAGGGUGCCAAAGUAAACAACUUUAGAGAGGUAGGAGGUGCAUGAAGAAGAGAGCAGAUCAAUAGCUGCAAUGCCAGGUCAGGCUGACCCAGGGGAAAGUGCUCUCAAAGGACCAUACCCAGAGAAUGCAGAGGUCCCAAAACCAGGCCCCACCAUAAUAACAGCCUCAUCAACUUUCAAAGGACAAGAGACUUUUCAGAGUCCUAUAAGGGACCAGCCCUCCAUGCAGAGCUGAUUACACGAAGUUGCUUGUGAUGCAGACUGCCUGCCCAUCUGUGUUCUUACCAACAGCCUCCAGCUGUCUCAGAAGCAAAUCACAGCAAUUAACAGUUCAUAAACUGUGUUUCCUCACUUUCACAUACAAGUCAGCAAAGAAGAGACAACAAAGACUUAAAAAAGGACAGGAACUUCCAACCAGCAGUCCACACCCAUCCAUGUUUUCCCAAGACGAACAGCCAUAGCCAGAUAACCAUGUGCAUGACCAUUGCAAUGGCUUUUCUUCAGACAGCAUAUAAAGAGUCACCGUCUGACACCAGGGAGUAAACUGUGUGAAUCACUGUCUUCCAGUUAAAUGUCAUCACUGCUGCAGUAUCUCAGACGACCACUUAUAGGAGGCAUCCUUGGUUGGAGCCCAGCAGCGGAAGCCUGUGCAGCAAAAAACAGAGGGUCCUCCCUCUGCUAUACACACCAAAUUGCUGCAAAUGCAACAUUCAGUUGCUAAUGAGACAAACGACAAAUUCAAACUGUGUUUAACUGAUUCAAGCCUAUUAUGGAAAGUUUCUAGUCAAGACAGCAAGUCCCUCUCUGGAACAAUUUCUGUCACAGAAGAAUCUAAGAACUAAAGGGUCGGGGACAGAAGUAAUAAAAAAUUAUUGGUUUAUAAUAAAGAAUCAGACGUUUGCAUUGGUUCUCCUAUUGGCUCUCUGAAUAAUCAUUCCUGCCCUAAAACAGGGAAUUAUUUUCUUUUGUGUCCAUGAAAAGCACCCUUUCUGGUCUUGCAUCACAGAUUUUCAGUUCUGAUUAAGCUUCAAGCACAAUUUUCUGUCAGGAAUUGGACUUUCUCAGAACAAAGCAGUUUUCUACUGUGCACUGUAACUAUGUUCUCCAUGGCUGAGUAGCAAAAGCUGCAAUUCACCCCCAGCACCCAGUUAUGCAUAGUAUGUGGGGAAAAGCAGUAAAUUAAAAUGACAGAAUUGUCCUCAGACUCUGAAUAUUAUACUAAGCAUGCUUUGGCAUCUUAUAUUUAGAGUGAGCUAUUUUAUGCUCAUUUCCUCUUGAUACAGUUUAGUUAAUAGCUAAAUUCAGUCACAAAACCACUUGUAAAUAAGCACCUUGUUACAGAUUACAGUAUUCUCAAUCCUCAGGGCUCUUCGACCCAGUCUAUCAGCCAAUAAAAUCUACCAAUGCAGCAUAUAAUUUCUGUCACAUUUGAGUGUUUUUAUACAUUAAUG